UUCUAAGGGCGGUGAAGUCAGACCGGAAGGACUGGUGGAGCGCUUAGAAGUGAGAAUGCCGGUAUGAGUAGCGAAAGAAGGGUGAGAAUCCCUUCCACCGAAUAUCUAAGGUUUCCUGAGGAAGGCUCGUCCGCUCAGGGUUAGUCGGGACCUAAGCCGAGGCCGAUAGGCGUAGGCGAUGGACAACAGGUAGAGAUUCCUGUACCAGUGCUAAUUGUUUAACCGAUGGGGUGACACAGAAGGAUAGGGAAUCGCACGAAUGGAAAUGUGCGUCCAAGCAGUGAGUGUGAGAAGUAGGCAAAUCCGCUUCUCGCGAAGCAUGAGCUGUGAUGGGGAAGGAAAUUAAGUACGGAAGUUCCUGAUUUCACGCUGUCAAGAAAAGCCUCUAGGAAGAGUAGUACUGCCCGUACCGCAAACCGACACAGGUAGAUGAGGAGAGAAUCCUAAGGUGAGCGAGAGAACUCUCGUUAAGGAACUCGGCAAAAUGACCCCGUAACUUCGGGAGAAGGGGUGCUCUAUUAGGGUGCAAGCCCGAGAGAGCCGCAGUGAAUAGGCCCAGGCGACUGUUUAGCAAAAACACAGGUCUCUGCAAAACCGUAAGGUGACGUAUAGGGGCUGACGCCUGCCCGGUGCUGGAAGGUUAAGAGGAGUGCUUAGCUUCGGCGAAGGUACGAAUUGAAGCCCCAGUAAACGGCGGCCGUAACUAUAACGGUCCUAAGGUAGCGAAAUUCCUUGUCGGGUAAGUUCCGACCCGCACGAAAGGCGCAACGAUCUGGGCACUGUCUCAACGAGAGACUCGGUGAAAUUAUAGUACCUGUGAAGAUGCAGGUUACCCGCGACAGGACGGAAAGACCCCGUGGAGCUUUACUGCAACCUGAUAUGGAAUGUUUGUACCGCUUGUACAGGAUAGGUAGGAGCCGAAGAGACGUGUGCGCUAGCAUACGAGGAGGCAAUGGUGGGAUACUACCCUGGCUGUAUGACCAUUCUAACCCGCCACGCUUAGCGCGUGGGGAGACAGUGUCAGGUGGGCAGUUUGACUGGGGCGGUCGCCUCCUAAAGAGUAACGGAGGCGCCCAAAGGUUCCCUCAGAAUGGAUGGAAAUCAUU
rnacentral:rRNA from 1 species